GACGAAGGUGGCGAGCGUUGUUCGGAAUCACUGGGCAUAAAGCGCACGUAGGCGGCGGCGUAAGUUGGAUGUGAAAUCCCCCGGCCCAACCGGGGAACUGCGUCCAGUACUGCGUUGCUUGAGGAUCCAAGGGGUGCAUGGAAUUCCCGGUGGAGCGGUGAAAUGCGUUGAUAUCGGGAGGAACUCCGGCGGCGAAAGCGGUGCACUGGUGGAUUACUGACGCUGAGGUGCGGAAAGCCAGGGGAGCAAA
rnacentral:rRNA from 1 species